rnacentral:rRNA from 1 species
CCCUUAGAUGUUCUGGGCCGCACGCGCGCUACAAUGAUGAAUUCAACGAGUUUAUAACCUUGGUUGAAAAGCCUGGGUAAUCUUUUGAACUUUCGUCGUGAUGGGGCUAGACCCUUGCAAUUAUUGGUCUCCAACGAGGAAUUCCUAGUAAACGCAAGUCAUCAGCUUGCAUUGAUUACGUCCCUGCCCUUUGUACACACCGCCCGUCGCACCUACCGAUUGAAUGGUCCGGUGAAAUCUUCGGAUUGAGACUUUGAUUUCUUCACGGAAAACGCUGUUUUAAAAAGUUGAUUAAACCUUACCAUUUAGAGGAAGGAGAAGUCGUAACA